AUGAACGCUAGCUACAGGCUUAACACAUGCAAGUCGAGGGGCAGCAUGAACUUAGCUUGCUAAGUUUGAUGGCGACCGGCGCACGGGUGAGUAACACGUAUCCAACCUGCCGAUGACUCGGGGAUAGCCUUUCGAAAGAAAGAUUAAUACCCGAUGGCAUAGUUCUUCCGCAUGGUAGAACUAUUAAAGAAUUUCGGUCAUCGAUGGGGAUGCGUUCCAUUAGGUUGUUGGCGGGGUAACGGCCCACCAAGCCUUCGAUGGAUAGGGGUUCUGAGAGGAAGGUCCCCCACAUUGGAACUGAGACACGGUCCAAACUCCUACGGGAGGCAGCAGUGAGGAAUAUUGGUCAAUGGACGAGAGUCUGAACCAGCCAAGUAGCGUGAAGGAUGACUGCCCUAUGGGUUGUAAACUUCUUUUAUACGGGAAUAAAGUGAGGCACGCGUGCCUUUUUGUAUGUACCGUAUGAAUAAGGAUCGGCUAACUCCGUGCCAGCAGCCGCGGUAAUACGGAGGAUCCGAGCGUUAUCCGGAUUUAUUGGGUUUAAAGGGAGCGUAGGCGGACGCUUAAGUCAGUUGUGAAAGUUUGCGGCUCAACCGUAAAAUUGCAGUUGAUACUGGGUGUCUUGAGUACAGUAGAGGCAGGCGGAAUUCGUGGUGUAGCGGUGAAAUGCUUAGAUAUCACGAAGAACUCCGAUUGCGAAGGCAGCCUGCUGGACUGUAACUGACGCUGAUGCUCGAAAGUGUGGGUAUCAAACAGGAUUAGAUACCCUGGUAGUCCACACAGUAAACGAUGAAUACUCGCUGUUUGCGAUAUACAGUAAGCGGCCAAGCGAAAGCGUUAAGUAUUCCACCUGGGGAGUACGCCGGCAACGGUGAAACUCAAAGGAAUUGACGGGGGCCCGCACAAGCGGUGGAGCAUGUGGUUUAAUUCGAAGCAACGCGAAGAACCUUACCUGCUCUUGACAUCUCCCUGACCGGCAAGUAAUGUUGCCUUUCCUUCGGGACAGGGAUGACAGGUGGUGCAUGGUUGUCGUCAGCUCGUGCCGUGAGGUGUCGGCUUAAGUGCCAUAACGAGCGCAACCCUUAUCGAUAGUUACCAUCAGGUUAUGCUGGGGACUCUGUCGAGACUGCCGUCGUAAGAUGUGAGGAAGGUGGGGAUGACGUCAAAUCAGCACGGCCCUUACGUCCGGGGCUACACACGUGUUACAAUGGGGGGUACAGAAGGCAGCUACACGGCGACGUGAUGCUAAUCCCUAAAGCCUCUCUCAGUUCGGAUUGGAGUCUGCAACCCGACUCCAUGAAGCUGGAUUCGCUAGUAAUCGCGCAUCAGCCACGGCGCGGUGAAUACGUUCCCGGGCCUUGUACACACCGCCCGUCAAGCCAUGAAAGCCGGGGGUACCUGAAGUGCGUAACCGCAAGGAGCGCCCUAGGGUAAAACUGGUGAUUGGGGCU
rnacentral:rRNA from 1 species